rfam:Nematostella vectensis strain CH2 x CH6 NEMVEscaffold_233_Cont19955, whole genome shotgun sequence.
UAGAACAAUGUAGGUAGGGAAGUCGGCAAAAUAGAUCCGUAACUUCGGGAAAAGGAUUGGCUCUAAGGGUUGGGUCUGUCGGGCUGAGACUUGAAGCCAGUGGACCCGGCCCGGACUGGCCGAGGCCCUCCAGGGGGUCGAAGCUGGACCGGGAAGGGGCUGUUGGUGGAUUGGCUCAGCUAUGGUCGCGAGGCCAAUUCGGCAGGCAAUGAACAACCAACUUAGAACUGGCAGUGACUAGGGGAAUCCGACUGUUUAAUUAAAACAAAGCAUUACGAUGGCCGGAAACGGUGUUGACGCAAUGUGAUUUCUGCCCAGUGCUCUGAAUGUCAAAGUGAAGAAAUUCAACCAAGCGCGGGUAAACGGCGGGAGUAACUAUGACUCUCUCAUUGAUAGAGAAUUCUUGGAUUUUAUCCAUUCCUAUUCGAGGGAAAAGCCGCCACAAAGAGGUCUCGCUAAGUCCAAACCACCACCCAAAGGACCAAAGAGCCUCAGACGCCAGCAAUAUCGGCAACUCCAGAGAUUGUGGGACAAAAACCGAUCCGCAGCAGCCGAACAGGCCCUAACAGGUAAAUGGCAAGAAGUUCGGACUGCUGCUGGGGUCCCAUUAUCGUUGAUGGAGGUCCCGUGGCGGGAGAUUUUCGAAACACCAUCUACGACGGACGUCCGAGAGCCGGCCCCAGCUGGGCCGGUUCUGUGGCAGCUUCUCAGACCAGUGACUAUCGCAGAAGUAGAGGACGCAAUUUCCUCCAAGAAAUCAGCUAGCGGUCCAGAUGGAGUGCCUUGUGCCGCCCUUCGAACCAUGGGCGCCGCCUCCCUAGCAGCUCACUUUAACUUGUGGCUGUUGGCCGGUACUCAGCCCAAACGCCUAACAGAAUGCCGAACAAUAUUUGUGCCUAAGGAGGUAAAUACUCACCUGCCCCUCCAUCAUAGGCCAAUCACUAUCGGCUCGGUGGUUGUAAGACUCUUCCACCAGAUUCUGGGAAAGCGAAUGGAAUCAGUACUGCCAUUGGGGUCGGGCCAGCGCGGUUUUCGAAAGGGUGACGGAAUAUGCCAGAACAUCUGGCUCCUCCGUACUCUAAUCAGACGCAGCACUGAUUUGCUGAGGCCACUCAAGCUGGUCUUCUUGGAUGUGAAAAAGGCCUUCGAUUCGGUUAGUCACGAAUCCCUUUUAAUUGCGGCGAAGCGUCUCGGAGUGCCCGGGCCGCUCCUAACGUACAUCAAUGAACUGUAUUCUCGUUCGGAGACAGUCUUUGAAGUUGGGGGCGAGAGCAGUGGCUCUGUUAAGGUAUCCCAAGGGGUAAAGCAAAGGGAUCCAUUGAGUUCGACUCUCUUCAACUGCGUCAUUGACUGGGCGGUCUCAGAUCUCGACCCCCACAUAGGCGUCUUACUAGGGGAGUCUCGAGUCUCCUUUCUAGCUUACGCUGAUGACCUGGUUCUCCUAUCGGAGACCGAGGCUGGACUGACAAGCCAGCUGAACUUAAUUGAAAAGAGUCUAGCGCACUGUGGUCUCAAGCUCAGUACGGGGGACGGUGGUAAAUCUGCUUCGCUGAACAUCGUGAUUGAUGGUAAAGCUAAGCGGUGGGUUGUAAACCCUACCCCGUUCCUACGUGCGUCUGGUGGCGAAAUUCGAUCUCUCGUCGCAAAUGAGACGUACAAGUACUUGGGCAUUAACAUCGGAGCCCAGGGCGUGAAAGCUGCUGAAUGUAUUCAAUGUAUUCAAAGAAGCACUCGAUAACUUGUCUCGAGCUCCACUUAAGCCGCAGCAGAGGUUAUUCCUGCUGAAGACCUAUCUGUUGCCGCAACUACACCACUCACUGGUAUUGUCAAGGACAACUGGCAAACUAUUGAACAGCCUCGAUGCUCUCGUAAGAAAAGCUGUACGGGGAUGGCUUAAAUUGCCACACGACACUCAUAGGGCCUUCUUUUAUGCUCACCAGGCCGACGGGGGACUCAAUGUCCCAAGUCUGUACCAUCUAAUACCUCUCCUAAGGAGGAGUAGGUAUGAACGCUUGACGAGGGUCGAAGACCCUGAGAUAAGGGAAGUGUCCCGAACCGACUACUUCAAAAGAGUCUUGGGUGCCGCGGCGGCGGCCACCACGGUUGCAGGGCAUCGAAUUGAUUCCAAAGUAACGUUGCGCCUAGCUUGGCGCGAGGCCCUUUACGCUUCAGCUGACGGGCGGGGUCUCUCCCAAUGCCCGUUGGUACCCGAGGUUCACUCCUGGGUUACCGAUGUUUCCGGUCUUCAGACCGGAUCGCAGUACAUCUCUGCUGUUCGCUUAAGGGGGGCCUUGCUUCCCACGGCGGUAAGGAAAUCGAGGGGUCGCGGGGGUGUUAACUCGAAUUGCGACUGUUGCGGUCGUGGACAACCAGAGUUUCUUGGGCACGUUCUCCAGACGUGUCCUCGGACCUGGGGGUCUCGCAUCAGUCGUCACAACCACGUCCUCUCCCUUAUCGCUAAAGCGUGCCGUUCGCGAAGAUGGCAGGUGCUGGAAGAGCCGAUCAUCCAGACUCCUGCGCAGUUGCUCAAGCCAGACUUGGUGAUCUGGAACCAUCAAGCGGCGUACGUCGUUGACGUUAGCGUACCGGGUGAUAACACCCCGCUCAGUACGUGUCACAACAGGAAAGUCGCAUAUUACUCUGGUGAGAGCGUUCGUGAAUGGGUGCGUUCCAAGACUGGGCAUAAUCCUACAGUGUCCUCUGUAGUGAUUAACUGGCGCGGUGCCAUGGCAAAGGAGUCCUACCGCCUUUUGACGAAAGACCUUCGUCUAGCGAAGACCCUGCCUCGUCUGCUGGUACUAAGAGUUCUGGAAGGCGGCCAUGGAAUCUGGCUCAAUUUCCAUCGGUCGACCUUCGCCGUGGGAGUAACUUGAUGGUGGGUUACUCGCCUCUGUGUAACAGGCAAAUGAAAGCUGCGCAAGCAGUCGAUGAGCCAAAGCCGCACAGCCCCCGACUGGGGUACAGGGCAGCCCUGGGCUAUGCCCGAAGUCUUUUGACAGGUCCAAACUUCACCCUUGCCGCCAGUAGGGCACCAGGGCCAGGUGCAGGUGGGCGCUUUGUUCUAUUUGGUUUCGCUUAAUUUUUGUUAAAUUUUUCCCGUGCGCCCACCCUUUUUAACCUUUUAACACCAAUUUUUAAAACCCUCUACUCAAUAAUCCAAAUGAUUAAAAGCGGCAUAACAGGUGAACACAAGGUAGCCAAAUGCCUCGUCAUCUAAUUAGUGACGCGCAUGAAUGGAUUAACGAGAUUCCCACUGUCCCUAUCUACUAUCUAGCGAAACCACAGCCAAGGGAACGGGCUUGG